AAACUGCGAAUGGCUCAUUACAACAGUUAUUGUUUAUUUGAUACAUUAAAUGGAUAACUGUAGAAAAACUAGAGCUAAUACAUGCUAAGGCCGCAAGGUUGUAUUUAUUAGAUAUUCCAAUAAGGUGAAUCAUAAUAACUUCGCAAAUCUCAUAUUUGUUGAGAUAAAUCAUCCAAGUUUCUGCCCUAUCAUGCUUUCGUUGGUAGUGUAUUGGACUACCAUGGCUCUCACGGGUAACAGGGAAUUAGGGUUCGAUUCUGGAGAAGGAGCCUGAGAAACGGCUACUACAUCUACGGAAGGCAGCAGGCGCGUAAAUUACCCAAUCCUGACUCAGGGAGGUGGUGACAAGAUAUAACAACGAGACUUUAAAUCUCGAUUGUAGUGAGGGUAUUCUAAAUAGAACCUAUAGUACGAUUAGAGGGCAAGUCUGGUGCCAGCAGCCGCGGUAAUUCCAGCUCUAAUAGCGUAUAUUAAAGUUGCUGCAGUUAAAAAGCUCGUAGUUGGAUUUCAAGGAUUGUAUUCUCUUCCGGGUUUACUUCCUACUAGUCAUUUGACUGUUACUGUGAGAAAAUUAGAGUGUUUCAAGCAGGCUUUCGCAAGAAUACAUUAGCAUGGAAUAACGAAUGUAUUUAGAAUCGUGGUUUAAUUCUAAAUUACUAUUAAUAGAGACAGUUGGGGGCAUUAGUAUUUAAUUGUCAGAGGUGAAAUUCUUGGAUUUGUUUAAAGACUAACGUAUGCGAAAGCAUUUGCCAAGGAUGUUUUCAUUAAUCAAGGACGAAAGAUAGGGGAUCAAAGACAAUCAGACACUGUCGUAGUCCUAUCUAUAAACUAUGCCGACUAGGGAUUGGGAGUGGGGUA
rnacentral:rRNA from 1 species